rnacentral:lncRNA from 1 species
CCCAAUUUUUGAUCCAGUGGAAGAGUGAGACGUGACAGUCAGCUGACGGAGGAUGAAAGGCCACCUAUGUUACCCACAAAGCAGGUGCUGAAGAGUCCUCACACUGACUCCUAGAACAGGUCCGCACCCAUCCUGACUCAGGCCACACUGCAUGGCAGGAGAGAGAGAGAGAGGAGUAGAGAGAAGGAGGAGUAAAGAGAGGUAGAGAUAAAGAUACAGAAAGACAGAAAGACAGAAAGAGAAAGAGAUAGAGAUGUAGACAGAUAAAGAUAGAAAAGAUAUAGAGACAUAGAGAUAGAGAGAGUUAGAGAAAGAGAGAGAGAAAUGUAGAGAGAGAUUGAGAGGGCAGAGGGAGAUGGGACUUCCUGGGCGAACAAGCAAUAGGAACAGGUGAACCUGUUCCGGCGGGUUGGGAAGACCUGGCUGGGACAGGCGGGCUGAAGGUGCCUGUGCUUCACCUGCAUGUCUGGUUUGCUUUCCCAGGUUCCUCACCCUGUAGGCUCUGCCAAGGCCUGAGUAUGAUGCUGUGGGUGAUUCACUGCCCAGAAGAUGAUGAGGGCCUGGGUCAGGACCAGCCUGGAAAUACUGCUGCAGUCACCGCUUCUCCAGCAAGGACCCUGAUGGCUUUGCCUGAACAGGCUCAUGGGGUAAGUGUGUCUCCUUCACAUUACACUAGACUGAGGCGGGGUUUCACAGAACUUUGGGUUAAGGUGGGAGCUGGUUCCAAAUUGUUGGAAAAAUUGUUUUGAGGGUGAGCUUGGAGUCCUGGAAAGAACAUGAGCUGUGGAGUCGAACAUCACAGCCCAGUGGUAGGUGGCAUUUGUGCUGGGCCUGCCAGAGCAGCCUGUCAGGGAAAACCUUCAGAGACAGCGUCAUAGCAGGUGUGCACACCCCGCUACACAUUCAUCUCAGGGUGAGCUGUCGGACCCUCAGGCUACGGGACUGCUGUGCCCCAUGGUCAGGGUGGCACCGGCUCCUCCUCCCCUGGAACAGUCAGGGGCUGGGGAGCCACGUCUGGAUUUGUAGUUGUAUAGGGUGGAAGUCUGCAGCAAAGUUUGCCCCGUCUUGUGGCUGGCAGGCGUGAUGGUUUAUGUGCAUGUGUGCAUGUAAGUGUGUGGUGGGUUCCCAAAAUUGAUUCCUAAGCAUUUGGCUGUGCCCACUUUGAAGGAGGUCACCUCUGUAUUUUGGGAGGGAUCCUGCUUCAAGGCGUGAAUCUUCAAUGCGGAUAUUUGAGGCACCAUGUGAGAGCAGGCAAGGCCCGGAGUGUCUCAGGUGGGUCCAUGUGGAGGAUGGGAGGACCCGACUUCCUGGCUCCGAUUGCCCAGCAGGCAUUUGUCUGCAGACCCUGCUUUAGCAGGGAGAAGCUGCAGAAAUGCCACCCCCCGGGCGGGAUAGGAGACACUGAUCCUGAUGUGAGUGAUGGUGUGUGAUCUCCCCUGCCCUGAACCUGGCGUAGAAAUCCCCUCUCAUCAUAACACUCUCACCAAAUCUUGCCUCUCCCUUUGGCACAAUAUGGCUUUU